UUGGCUCAGGAUGAACGCUGGCGGCGUGCCUAACACAUGCAAGUCGAACGAAGCACUGAGACUUCGGUUUUUGUGCUUAGUGGCGGACGGGUGAGUAACGCGUGAGCAAUCUGCCUUUCAGAGGGGGAUAACGAUUGGAAACGAUCGCUAAUACCGCAUAACGUAUUCGGAUGGCAUCAUCUGAAUACCAAAGGAGCAAUCCGCUGAAAGAUGAGCUCGCGUCUGAUUAGAUAGUUGGUGAGGUAACGGCCCACCAAGUCGACGAUCAGUAGCCGGACUGAGAGGUUGAACGGCCACAUUGGGACUGAGACACGGCCCAGACUCCUACGGGAGGCAGCAGUGGGGAAUA
rnacentral:rRNA from 1 species